GGCACACAAUCAGGCGUGACAUCUUAUAUGACAUCAACAUGGUUGAAGUGAUAAGCAAACUUAACGUAACAUGGACUCAAGCAACAUGGCUACCACUUGUUUCAAUAAUGGGGUUAGCGUUUUUACUAACAGUCUGCUCCAUCAAAAUACAAGGUCCAUUGGAGGCCCCGGUAGGAAAUAACGUUACGCUUACAUGUAUUGCCAAGGGAGGUUUGCGAUUCAAGUACACAAAUAUAAAGAAUGUUCAGACAGCUAUUGGGGAAUGCACAGCAUUCUACAAUUGCAAUGUGUACGAGGAAAAACUGAAAGACAAAUAUAAAAUAACUCUAACGGAUGACGGCGCAAUGCUUUUCAUCUUGAAUAUUGACACUUUCAGAUUUGGCAAUUAUACGUGUUCUUCAUUAUUUGAUGCAUCCAUGUCCGAUAGCCUGUUUCUGUCACAACAUAACUCAACAUCUAUACCGUUAAGUUGUGAAAGCAACUCAACAUCUAUACCGUUAAGUAGUGAAAGCAACUCAACAUCUAUACCGUUAAGUAGUGAAAGCAACUCAACAUCUAUACCGUUAAGUAGUGAAAGCAACUCAACAUCUAUACCGUUAAGUAGUGAAAGCAACCCAACAUCUAUACCGUUAAGUAGUGAAAGCAACUCAACAUCUAUACCGUUAAGUAGUGAAAGCACAACUCGUAAAGUAUUGCUUCCUUUGAUAUAUGUGUUGUUUUUAUUGUAUUUUAUGGUCUUACCAUAAUUGCAUAUGGUUUUGAAUACCUUCUAAAAGUUGUGUGAGAGAAGUAAUUGACAAACAACAGGAUCA